rnacentral:rRNA from 1 species
UACGUAGGGGGCGAGCGUUGUCCGGAUUUAUUGGGCGUAAAGAGCUCGUAGGCGGUUCGAUAAGUCGGAUGUGAAAUCUCCACGCUCAACGUGGAGGGGCCAUUCGAUACUGUCGUGACUCGAGUCCGGUAGGGGAGUGUGGAAUUCCCGGUGUAGCGGUGAAAUGUGUAGAGAUCGGGAGGAACACCUAUUGCGAAGGCAGCUCGCUGGGACGUAACUGACGCUGAGACGCGAAAGCGUGGGGAGCAAACAGG